rnacentral:rRNA from 1 species
UGGGGAAUUUUGGACAAUGGGCGAAAGCCUGAUCCAGCAAUGCCGCGUGUGUGAAGAAGGCCUUCGGGUUGUAAAGCACUUUUGUCCGGAAAGAAAUCCUUGGCUCUAAUACAGUCGGGGGAUGACGGUACCGGAAGAAUAAGCACCGGCUAACUACGUGCCAGCAGCCGCGGUAAUACGUAGGGUGCAAGCGUUAAUCGGAGUUACUGGGCGUAAAGCGUGCGCAGGCGGUUUGCUAAGACCGAUGUGAAAUCCCCGGGCUCAACCUGGGAACUGCAUUGGUGACUGGCAGGCUAGAGUAUGGCAGAGGGGGGUAGAAUUCCACGUGUAGCAGUGAAAUGCGUAGAGAUGUGGAGGAAUACCGAUGGCGAAGGCAGCCCCCUGGGCCAAUACUGACGCUCAUGCACGAAAGCGUGGGGAGCAAACAGGAUUAGAUACCCUGGUAGUCCACGCCCUAAACGAUGUCAACUAGUUGUUGGGGAUUCAUUUCCUUAGUAACGUAGCUAACGCGUGAAGUUGACCGCCUGGGGAGUACGGUCGCAAGAUUAAAACUUAAAUGAAUUGACGGGGUCAUAGCUGUUUCCU